GAAGUGUUUGUUUUUGUUUGUCACCAGGCAGCAGGGAACCCGUCGUCUUUGUUCUGGAGGUCAUGCUGCUAGAGAUGGCAAAUAUUGACAUACAUGAAGGGAGAAAAUUCCUCCUGACUUUCACCAUGUGAAAACCAGCGAGCCAAAUCCACUGCUGGAGUACACAGUAGGAAGAUCACCGGAGUGAGGGGCUUUGUGUGCUGACAGGGAUGAAAGCUCAUGAAAGCAAACCAGGGAUGCUAGUAUGCAAUUACUUUCACACCGCAGUGGAAAGUCUCAGACAUGAUGUUUUCUUGUCAUCUUCCUUAAUUAUGAUUUACAGUUACUAGGAUUGAUUCAAGAGAGCUGUCAGUACGGGAGGAACAGCAGCAGACAUACUCCUUUCUAUCACAGAGUGCUCCAUGAGUUCUAACAUUCACUGAACCAUCAUCUCAUCUGCAGAGAGCAUUGAGCAGUUGGAGCCACAGGCCAUAGGAUCCUAAAAUCCUAGAGUCAUCUAGACUGGAAAAAACCUUCAAGAACAUCUAGUCCAACUAUCAAUCAAAUCCAAUGGAACUGUGCUUUAAUCUGUGUUUCCUUAUAUUAAUCUUCUAGGUGCUUCUGGACUUGGUGCUUUACUUCACUUCUUUUCAGCCUGGAUCUUUCUUUGUGAAGCCUGCAUCUAGAGACAUUUCCUUCACACUGUUCUCUCGUCUGAUGAGAAAUUAGAUAAAUUUUCCUAGACCACCUCAAAUGACCAUUUACCUGUGAUCCAUUAGCACAUGCUGUGGCAGUUAAUCAAUUUUGCCUACUGAAGUGCAGAUACUUAGGAUAGAUGAGGAGGCUGGACCUUCUCCAGGGAGGAAAAAGUAGGAAAGUGAGGAUGAAACAGGAAGCUGAUGUUUAUUAUGUGCUUAGGUGUGGAGUAGACUCCUGGGAAUUAUGAUGUGUGCUACCACUCAGCCACACACAGCACUUCUUCACACAGUUCCUUCAAUACUUUAUUUUUCAUUCCUUAUAGAUCUUUAGGCCAAAUAUUUUCUUCUUUAAAAUAAAAUUUGGAUCUAAAAAUUCAGACACAAAUUCUUUUUAC